rnacentral:rRNA from 1 species
CUUGGUCAUUUAGAGGAAGUAAAAGUCGUAACAAGGUUUCCGUAGGUGAACUGCGGAAGGAUCAUUAUUGAACUUUGAAUACUUGUGGCUUCGAGCUGUUGCUGGCCUCCUAACAAGAGGCAUGUGCACGCUUGGG